rnacentral:rRNA from 1 species
UUAAGCCAUGCGAGUCGAACGAGUUUAGGCUCGUGGCGUACGGCCCAGUAACACGUGGAUAACCUACCCUUAGGACCGGGAUAACCUUGGGAAACUGAGGAUAAUACUGGAUAGGCAAUUAUUUCUGCAAUGGUUUUUUGUUUAAAUGUUUUUUCGCCUAAGGAUGGGUCUGCGGCCGAUUAGGUAGUUGGUUAGGUAAAGACUUACCAAGCCGUUGAUCGGUACGGGUUGUGAGAGCAAGAGCCCGGAGAUGGAACCUGAGACAAGGUUCCAGGCCCUACGGGGUGCAGCAGGCGCGAAACCUCCGCAAUGUGAGAAAUCGCGACGGGGGGAUCCCAAGUGCCAUUCUUAACGGGAUGGCUUUUCAUUAGUGUAAAGAGCUUUUGGAAUAAGGGCUGGGCAAGACCGGUGCCAGCCGCCGCGGUAA